rnacentral:rRNA from 1 species
GUCGAGCGAUGAAGUUUCUUCGGAAAUGGAUUAGCGGCGAACGGGUGAGGAACACGUGAAGAAUCUGCCCUCCACUUUGGGAUAACACAGGGAAACCUGUGCUAAUACCGAAUAUUGAAACAUAAGUGGCAUCACUGAGUUUUGAAAGAAUUUCGGUGGAGGAUGACUUCGCGGCCUAUCAGCUAGUUGGUGAGGUAAUGGCUCACCAAGGCAACGACGGGUAGCCGGCCUGAGAGGGCGACCGGCCACACUGGGACUGAGACACGGCCCAGACUCCUACGGGAGGCAGCAGUGGGGAAUAUUGGGCAAUGGAGGAAACUCUGACCCAGCGACGCCGCGUGCGGGAUGAAGGCCUUCGGGUUGUAAACCGCUUUCAGUAGGGAAGAAGCGAAAGUGACGGUACCUACAAAAGAAGCACCGGCUAACUAUGUGCCAGCAGCCGCGGUAAUACAUAGGGUGCAAGCGUUGUCCGGAAUUAUUGGGCGUAAAGAGCUCGUAGGUUGUUUGUUACGUCGGAUGUGAAAACCUGAGGCUCAACCUCAGGCCUGCAUUCGAUACGGGCAAACUAGAGUUUGGUAGGGGAGACUGGAAUUCCUGGUGUAGCGGUGGAAUGCGCAGAUAUCAGGAGGAACACCAAUGGCGAAGGCAGGUCUCUGGGCCAAUACUGACACUGAGGAGCGAAAGUCUGGGGAGCGAACAGGAUUAGAUACCCUGGUAGUCCAGACCGUAAACGGUGGGCACUAGUUGUGGGGACCUUCCACGGUCUCUGCGACGCAGCUAACGCAUUAAGUGCCCCGCCUGGGGAGUACGAUCGCAAGAUUAAAACUCAAAGGAAUUGACGG